GGAUGCAGUCCUGACGGUCCUUGACAAGAGGUCGUGAGCAGACAGGUUCCCCAUGCAGCCACACUGUGAUGCAUUCAGUCAGGACGCUCUCAAUAGUGCAGCGCUAAAAGUUGGAAGAGGAGCUUCAGGCUGAUGAACAAGAUUUUCAGCCUGAUGAACCAGCAAGCUGGGUUGUGGCUAAUGGACAGAUGUGGCACGAAAUGGCCCAACAAGAUGAUCCUGUUGUCUGAAGAAUGCCCAUCAUGUACUAGGAUCCUGGAAGAAGGCCUUCCCAAAAUUUGAGACUCCAUCCUAAAUUACUGUGAACAGCCAAAAAUGGUUCAACUAAUCAUCUACUAUUCUUCAACAGUUCAGUUGUCCUUCAACUGAGCUACAUUAUUAUAACAUAAAGGAUUACCAUUGGUAAAGUUAUAUUA